AGAUUUCUCUUGUACAAUUUCUCCUUGAAAAUUGCCUCAGGAUAUUUGGAGAAGACAUCACUUCCUUCUUGGGAGAGAAGUCAAUGAGUUGUGACUCCGGCCAGAAAACUGUGAAAAGCUGUUCAUUCAGAGACAGGGCCUUUUGGUGGGGCUCCAGCACUUGCCAGCAAAACCAGUGCACAACCCCACAUUCUGCAAAGCCAGGAGAGCUCUUUGGAGUUUGCCUCAUGGUUGUGUGUUAUAAAGACAACCUGGCCUUCCCAAUUCUGGGUAUGCUUUCCUUUAUUCAUAAAAAAGGGCCUCUCACAAAAGGCAUCUUCAGAAAAUCAGCCAAUAUAAAAUCCUGCCAUGUGCUAAAGGAGAAACUAAAUUCUGGCGUCAAAGUGAACCCGUACAGCCAAUCUGUUCAUGUGGUCGCAUCCGUCU